rnacentral:pre_miRNA from 1 species
AUAGUACUCCCUCCGUCCGGAAAUACUUGUCCUAAAAAUGAAUAUAUUUGAUGUAUCUAUAAUUAAAAUAAGUCUAGAUUCAUUCAUUUCUAGGACAAGUAUUUCCGGACGGAGGGAGUACUAA